rnacentral:rRNA from 1 species
GCCGGAGGGAAACCGAGUCUUAAUUGGGCGUUAAGUUGCAGGGUAUAGACCCGAAACCCGGUGAUCUAGCCAUGGGCAGGUUGAAGGUUGGGUAACACUAACUGGAGGACCGAACCGACUAAUGUUGAAAAAUUAGCGGAUGACCUGUGGCUGGGGGUGAAAGGCCAAUCAAACCGGGAGAUAGCUGGUUCUCCCCGAAAGCUAUUUAGGUAGCGCCUCGUGAAUUCAUCUCCGGGGGUAGAGCACUGUUUCGGCUAGGGGGCCAUCCCGGCUUACCAACCCGAUGCAAACUGCGAAUACCGGAGAAUGUUAUCACGGGAGACACACGGCGGGUGCUAACGUCCGUCGUGAAGAGGGAAACAACCCAGACCGCCAGCUAAGGUCCCAAAGUCAUGGUUAAGUGGGAAACGAUGUGGGAAGGCCCAGACAGCCAGGAUGUUGGCUUAGAAGCAGCCAUCAUUUAAAGAAAGCGUAAUAGCUCACUGGUCGAGUCGGCCUGCGCGGAAGAUGUAACGGGGCUAAACCAUGCACCGAAGCUGCGGCAGCGAACGUAUCACCCAAGACAACUUUGCGGAGUUGACGAUUGACGGAGCGAAGCGACGUCAAAGCGUUCAUUAAAGUCGAGUUGGCUUAGGGAUACGUUCGUUGGGUAGGGGAGCGUUCUGUAAGCCUGUGAAGGUAUGCUGUGAGGCAUGCUGGAGGUAUCAGAAGUGCGAAUGCUGACAUAAGUAACGAUAAAGCGGGUGAAAAGCCCGCUCGCCGGAAGACCAAGGGUUCCUGUCCAACGUUAAUCGGGGCAGGGUGAGUCGACCCCUAAGGCGAGGCCGAAAGGCGUAGUCGAUGGGAAACGGGUUAAUAUUCCCGUACUUGGUGUUACUGCGAAGGGGGGACGGAGAAGGCUAUGUUGGCCGGGCGACGGUUGUCCCGGUUUAAGCGUGUAGGUGUGUGUUCCAGGUAAAUCCGGUUCACUUUAACACUGAGGCGUGACGACGAGGCACUACGGUGCUGAAGCAACAAAUGCCCUGCUUCCAGGAAAAGCCUCUAAGCAUCAGGUAACAUCAAAUCGUACCCCAAACCGACACAGGUGGUCAGGUAGAGAAUACCAAGGCGCUUGAGAGAACUCGGGUGAAGGAACUAGGCAAAAUGGUGCCGUAA